UUAUAGACACCCCAUUUCAUUUAGGGUGUACUUUCAAAUUCUCGGUUCUGAUUUUGUCAAGAUCGUUGGGCUUCCAAAGGGCCCAUUUAAUUUUAAAUUGGUUGUGAAUAAUUGAUUUUGGGCUUUAGGCCCAACGUAGGUUUGUUUGGCAUUUAUUGCCAAAAUAAAAAAUUAAUUAAUAACAAAAUUUGAUUAACAUUAAAAAAAGGAAAAAAAAAAAGAAAAUCAAAAAGUUCUUUUGGGAAUC
rnacentral:lncRNA from 1 species